AGCAGCCGCGGUAAUUCCAGCUCCAAUAGCGUAUAUUAAAGUUGUUGCAGUUAAAAAGCUCGUAGUUGAAUUUCGGGGUCAGUAGGUUGGUCGUGCCACUGGUAUGCACUGGUCUCACUGAUUCCUCCUUCCUGAUGAACCGUAAUGCCAUUAAUUUGGUGUUGCGAGGAAUCUGGACUUGUUAACUUUGAAAAAAUUAGAGUGUUUAAAGCAGGCUAACGCUUGAAUACAUUAGCAUGGAAUAAUGAAAUAGGACGAUCGAUUCCUAUUUUGUUGGUUUCUAGGAUUGACGUAAUGAUUAAUAGGGAUAGUUGGGGGCAUUAGUAUUCAAUUGUCAGAGGUGAAAUUCUUGGAUUUAUUGAAGACUAACUACUGCGAAAGCAUUUGCCAAGGUAUGUUUU
rnacentral:rRNA from 1 species